CUCCUACGGGAGGCAGCAGUAGGGAAUCUUCCGCAAUGGGCGCAAGCCUGACGGAGCAACGCCGCGUGAGUGAGGAAGGCCUUCGGGUUGUAAAACUCAGUCACCUGGGAAGAGAGGUAUGGGGAGUGGAAUGCCCCAUACGAGACGGUACCAGGGGAGGAAGCCCCGGCUAACUACGUGCCAGCAGCCGCGGUAAUACGUAGGGGGCAAGCGUUGUCCGGAAUCACUGGGCGUAAAGCGUGCGUAGGCGGUCUUUCAAGUCCGGGGUGAAAACUCAAGGCUCAACCUUGAGAAUGCCUUGGAAACUGGGGGACUUGAGUACUGGAGAGGCAAGGGGAAUUCCACGUGUAGCGGUGAAAUGCGUAGAGAUGUGGAGGAAUACCAGUGGCGAAGGCGCCUUGCUGGACAGUGACUGACGCUGAGGCACGAAAGCGUGGGGAGCAAACAGGAUUAGAUACCCUGGUAGUCCACGCUGUAAACGAUGAGUGCUAGGUGUUGGGGGUUCAUCCCCUCAGUGCCGAAGGAAACCCAAUAAGCACUCCGCCUGGGGAGUACGGUCGCAAGACUGAAACUCAAAGGAAUUGACGGGGGCCCGCACAAGCAGUGGAGCAUGUGGUUUAAUUCGAAGCAACGCGAAGAACCUUACCAGGGCUUGACAUCCCUCUGACCGGUUCAGAGAUGGACCUUCCCUUCAGGGCAGAGGAGACAGGUGGUGCAUGGUUGUCGUCAGCUUGUGUCGUGAGAUGUUGGGUUAAGUCCCGCAACGAGCGCAACCCUUGACCUGUGUUACCAGCACGUAAUGGUGGGGACUCACAGGUGACUGCCGGCGUAAGUCGGAGGAAGGUGGGGAUGACGUCAAAUCAUCAUGCCCUUUAUGUCCUGGGCUACACACGUGCUACAAUGGGCGGUACAACGGGAAGCGAGACCGCGAGGUGGAGCGAAACCCAAAAAGCCGUUCGUAGUUCGGAUUGCAGGCCGCAACCCGCCUGCAUGAAGCCGGAAUUGCUAGUAAUCGCGGAUCAGCAUGCCGCGGUGAAUCCGUUCCCGGGCCUUGCACACACCGCCCGU
rnacentral:rRNA from 1 species